CUGCAGGAUAUCACACCAGCGAGCCUUUUGCUAUCUUCUGCACAGAGAUGCUUGCCUCUUAGUGUGUAUAUAUAUAUCUCCACUGUAUGGUGUGUGUGUAUAUGUCCACACUGUUGCAACAGGCAGACACUGAGGGAGGAGAGAGGGAAAUAGGGAGAGAGAGUGACAGGAAGGGAGAGAGGGAGGAAUAGAGAGAGGUAUAGUGAGAGUCAGAGUGAAAUAGGAAAAAGGGAGGGGGAGAGCUUUAUAUGAUGGUAACAUGUUUAUGAUACAGUGUAAAAAAAUAUCAAUUUAGAUAAAAAAAAAAAAAAAAAAAGAGAGAGACUUGAGGAUUGAAUGUGAGUAUUUCUGGUGAACUAGUCCACAUAGCUGCUGCCAAAGAGCCCUGACCAGACCUCUACUUGUGCUGAAGCAGACUGGAGGAGACCCUUGGUAAGUUAUGGGCUUUUUUUUUUUCCCUCCUCUCUCCUUCUCUCCCUCUCUACGCCGCUGAUUACGACGCUGCUGAUUGAUUGGUUAGAGGCUGCGGAUUAUCACGGGCCGCUCGUCACCAGGUACCUGAUGAUGAGAGGAGAGAGAGACGAGAGGAGGAGGAGGGGGGGGGGGGGAGCGAGGAAGAGAGGGGGGGAAGGAGGGGUGGAAAUUAGAUGAGCAUGGCCGGCGCUCACAUCACCAGAUCUCACUAACUCUCUUUCUGAUUUCUCUGUUUACUCUGCCAUCGCACAUUUGUAUAUACCGCGUGUGGAAAAAAAUUGAUUUUGUGCAUUUGUGUGUGUGUUUGUGUUUCAUGUUGAUGUGUGAGUGUGUGUGUGUGUGUGUGGUCCCAGCCGGCACACGUUGCCAGCCCGCCUGCCCGUCUUUCCUGUAGUCAACCCGGCGUGUGCUGAUGAGGCUUUGGGGAGGGGUUUGCUGAUGAGGGAAAAGCCAGAGGGGCCUUUUUGUGAAUAUGCAGAUGAGGGGCAUGUGUAAAUGGGAGGGGGCUCGACGUGAGUGCGCGCCACACGCUUUAUUGUUUAUAUGUUCUCCAUAGGGAGCCUGAUCCUCAACAGAUUGCCGGGGUUUUGGUGUGAUCUCGCCGCUGCUUUUGUUUGGAACAUUCGCUGACAAAGAUGGAGAAGGAGAAGAGGAGAGAGCCAGGGAGGGGAGGAGAAGAAGAAGAAAAAAAGAUAGAAAAAUACAGUAAAAGAGAAAAAAUGCAAGAGCAGCUUCAGGGCAUAUUUUCACCCCAUUGACAAGACAUGAUGAUUGCUGUUUUGCCCCCUCCCUUCUCCCCCCCUGUACCUCCCCAGACGUUUUUCUAAUCCAUUUGCAUGUCAAAGCAGCGGAGGCCACUGUGCAGAUUAGUAUGAGAUGACAUAAUGAUGUAAUGAAUUAAAUGCUCCUGUUUAAGCGCUGCACUUUGCUAUAGUGGGUGGCAGGGACAGGGGGGGGAUGAGGGGCAAAUAAGAGAAACAAGUAGGGAGGAGAAAUGCUUCCUUUUUUUUGACGUCACAGAAACACUGAUUGAAAUAACCUUUUCUGCUUCAUUUGAUUACAGCGCUGAAUCAGAGUUUGCAACGAGCUUAAUUAUAUUUGCAUAUUUUAGCGGAAUGUAAACUUGGGACUGUUAGCAUCUUGUCAACUGUACUGUACAAAUUCAAUUUAACAUGACAAACCAUCUUUUUCAUCGGAUUUGAUUUAAUCUGACAACGUCUUUUCCAUUUUUUAUUUACAGAGCAUUUAAAUUCAGAGAGAAUAUUGACUUUUUUUUCUUUUCUUGCAGUUUUAAGCAUUACAAAAAUCUUUUUUUUUAAUAGUAAUAAAAGCAUACUCUGAGUUGGCCUUUUCUAGCAGCUGCUCUGUGUUUUUUUUGCGUGAAAGCCACAUUAAAACAAAACAAAAAGCAUAUUUCUUCACACUUUGACCCGCUCAAAAAUAGGGUUCGAGGGUCAUACAGUGAAGUGAUGACUGUACAGUCAGCUCCUUUCCCUCUGAAUUCUGCCUUUAUUUCUACUUUUCUUUCAUCACCGUCUAACAAUACUCUGUCUACUGUGUUUUUUCUCUGGAUUUCAAGGAUACAUUUUGCUUGAAAUAAUAAAAAAAAAGAAAACCC